rnacentral:misc_RNA from 1 species
UCCGGCUUAACGCCGGCAGUCUACCGGCGAGUCCCAUGUCAAGGGCUGGUAAGGUUCUGCGCGUUGCGUCGAAUUGAACCACAUGCUCCACCGCUUGUGCGGGCCCCCGUCAAUUCCUUUGAGUUUCAACCUUGCGGCCGUACUCCCCAGGCGGGGUGCUUAACGCGUUAGCUGCGACACUGACGAGCAAGCUCGCCAACGUCUAGCACCCAUCGUUUACGGCGUGGACUAC